rnacentral:rRNA from 1 species
UGGGGAAUAUUGCACAAUGGGCGAAAGCCUGAUGCAGCAACGCCGCGUGAGUGAUGAAGGCCUUCGGGUUGUAAAGCUCUGUCUUUUGGGACGAUAAUGACGGUACCAAAGGAGGAAGCCACGGCUAACCUACGUGCCAGCAGCCGCGGUAAUACGUAGGUGGCAAGCGUUGUCCGGAUUUACUGGGCGUAAAGGAUGCGUAGGCGGAUUUUUAAGUGAGAUGUGAAAACCCUAAGCUUAACUUGGGGACUGCAUUUCAUACUGGAAAUCUAGAGUGCGGGAGAGGAGAAUGGAAUUCCUAGUGUAGCGGUGAAAUGCGUAGAGAUUAGGAAGAACACCAGUGGCGAAGGCGAUUCUCUGGACCGUAACUGACGCUGAGGCAUGAAAGCGUGGGUAGCAAACAGGAUUAGAUACCCUGGUAGUCCACGCCGUAAACGAUGAGUACUAGGUGUAGGAGGUAUCGACCCCUUCUGUGCCGCAGUUAACACAAUAAGUACUCCGCCUGGGAAGUACGAUCGCAAGAUUAAAAACUCAAAGGAAUUGACGGGGGUCAUAGCUGUUUUUCCU